rnacentral:rRNA from 6 species
GAGUUUGAUCGUGGCUCAGAUUGAACGCUGGCGGCAUGCCUUACACAUGCAAGUCGAACGGCAGCACGGGAGCUUGCUCCUGGUGGCGAGUGGCGAACGGGUGAGUAAUGCAUCGGAACGUAUCCUGGAGUGGGGGAUAACGUAGCGAAAGUUACGCUAAUACCGCAUAUUCUGUGAGCAGGAAAGCGGGGGACCUUCGGGCCUCGCGCUCUUGGAGCGGCCGAUGUCGGAUUAGCUAGUUGGUGAGGUAAAGGCUCACCAAGGCGACGAUCCGUAGCAGGUCUGAGAGGAUGAUCUGCCACACUGGAACUGAGACACGGUCCAGACUCCUACGGGAGGCAGCAGUGGGGAAUUUUGGACAAUGGGGGCAACCCUGAUCCAGCCAUGCCGCGUGAGUGAAG